GUACCUGAGAUAGUAGGCGCAGGGCUGGGCUGCGCGCGUAGCUGGGCAACUUGUGCGGCUGCGCAGCAGUGCAACAUCAACGCCGUUAGUGCGCAUGCGCGGCCUUCGGCUGAGUCGUCACCUGCGCCACCGGCGUCCUCUGCUGACAGUUCCUCGCGGACUGCUUGCAACUGUAAACAAAUGUCAAAGAAUGAAGACCUGUAUCAUGAGAGACGCGCUGCGAGUUCAGGUGCGGAGUCCCUGGCAGCCGCGAGCAGCGCGUCCGGCGGGAGCGCGCUGCGCAGGGCCGGCUGCAGCAUAGCCAUCACCGCGCCGCCACCCCCCUCCGC